CCUACGGGUGGCAGCAGUGGGGAAUAUUGCGCAAUGGGCGAAAGCCUGACGCAGCGACGCCGCGUGAGUGAUGAAGGUCUUCGGAUCGUAAAGCACUGUCAGCAGGGAGGAACGGUCUCUGUUCUAAUCAUCAGCUCAUUGACGGUACCUGCAGAGGAAGCACCGGCUAACUCCGUGCCAGCAGCCGCGGUAAUACGGAGGGUGCAAGCGUUAAUCGGAAUUACUGGGCGUAAAGCGCUCGUAGGCGGUAUGUCAAGUCAAGGGUGAAAUCCCCGGGCUCAACCUGGGAACUGCCUUUGAAACUGGCAAACUGGAGUGUGGGAGAGGAUAGUAGAAUUCCAGGUGUAGGAGUGAAAUCCGUAGAUAUCUGGAGGAAUAUCAGUGGCGAAGGCGACCAUCUGGCAGAUGACUGACGCUGAGGAGCGAAAGCGUGGGUAGCAAACAGGAUUAGAUACCCCAGUAGUC
rnacentral:rRNA from 1 species